rnacentral:ncRNA from 1 species
UCCUUUAAAUAGGACACGUGUAUAAAUGUAAUACGCUCCCCUUACUGAUAUGUGAGAGGGAGCUUUUUU